rnacentral:snRNA from 1 species
GUACUCACUUCAGCAGCACAUAUACUAAAACUGGAACUAUACAGACUAGAUUAGCAUGGCCCCUGCGCAAGGAUGACAUGCAAAUUCGUGAAGUGUUCCAUAUUAAA